ACAUGCCUACAAGAUAGUGUUAAUGUACAGUAUCCCAUUAUAACUCCAUAGUUAAGCAUGCUUGAGCUAGAGUAGUAUUGGGAUGGGUGACAACUCGGUAAGUCCUAGUGUUUUACAUGCC
rnacentral:rRNA from 1 species